rnacentral:rRNA from 1 species
AUACGUAGGGGGCGAGCGUUGUCCGGAAUGAUUGGGCGUAAAGGGCGUGUAGGCGGCGCGGUAAGUCUGGAGUGAAAGUCCUGCUUUCAAGGUGGGAAUUGCUUUGGAUACUGCCGCGCUUGAGUGCAGGAGAGGUUAUCGGAAUUCCCGGUGUAGCGGUGAAAUGCGUAGAGAUCGGGAGGAACACCAGUGGCGAAGGCGGGUAACUGGACUGCAACUGACGCUGAGGCGCGAAAGUGUGGGGAGCAAACAGGAUUAGAUACCCUGGUAGUCCACACUGUAAACGAUGAAUGCUAGGUGUAAGAGGUAUCGACCCCUUUUGUGCCGGAGUCAACACAAUAAGCAUUCCGCCUGGGGAGUACGGCCGCAAGGUUGAAACUCAAAUGAAUUGACGGGG